AACAAUGUCUUAAUUUAACUCCAAGCAUCAUCCGUUCAAAUGGACGUUGUGAAAAAUUGAAAACCCUAACCACACUUUCUCUCCUCAACACGGGCGCGCGUAUUCGCUGUCUGUAAGAGCAAAGGAUGACUCUAGAAAUUGAAGCUCGAGAUGUGAUCAAGAUCGUGCUCCAGUUCUGCAAAGAGAAUUCAUUGCACCAAACGUUCCAGACGUUGCAGAAUGAGUGCCAAGUCUCGCUCAAUACAGUGGAUAGUAUCGAGACGUUUGUUGCUGAUAUCAAUAGUGGAAGAUGGGAUGCUAUAUUGCCUCAGGUGGCUCAACUCAAGCUUCCCAGAAAUAAAUUGGAGGACUUGUAUGAGCAGAUUGUAUUAGAAAUGAUAGAACUUCGAGAGUUAGACACUGCACGUGCCAUUUUAAGGCAAACUCAGGCAAUGGGUGUCAUGAAGCAGGAGCAACCUGAGAGAUACUUGCGUCUUGAGCAUCUCCUAGUUAGAACUUAUUUCGAUCCAAAUGAGGCUUACCAGGAUUCAACCAAGGAGAAAUGUCGUGCACAGAUUGCCCAAGGUUUUUCCUCGUUUACAUUCUUGUUAUUGAAUUAAUUGUGAAGAUCCCCUGCACUUAUUUUGUAUUGAAUGUUUCAUAAUUGACAAUGAAUUCCUUAAUAUUUAAAGGUUCAAUAUGCGAUUUUUCUUCUUGAUUGUUAGAAAUAGAAUUCACUGUUAUUUUUCUCAUUAUCUUCCUGAAUAAUUGGGUUGGUUCUCUCAUCUUCUGCCUUAUCUUGCUUCAAGCCUUGAAAUGCCUAGAGUUGAGCAUUAAGAUUGCUAAAUGUGGCAGCUCUACAGGAUUAUCAUCAUUGUGUUAGCAUAACAGUGUAGCGGUAUUUUGAUAAUUGGUUGUUUUCUAUUUUUUGUUCUCUUUUACAUUACGUACCCUUGGCAUUUUGGGGUUGCAACAUAUCAUUGUUUUAGUGGGCCAGCCCUUACAAGUGCUGGAUAUGGUAUCCAAACGGGGGAGAUGAUAGAAACUACACAUGAAUGAAUCGGAAAUCUAGGUUGAAAGAAUAAGGUUUUAGCCUGUUAUACAGUAUGGCUCUUGGAGGUCCAACAGGUUUUAAGCUGCUGAUUUGAUGAAAUCAUGGCUUUAAUGAUUCGGUGCAUUAUUGAGGUAUUACAUGAGAUUCUUUUCUUGAUGAUUUGGAUUUUUGAACAUUUUCAAGGAAAUUUCUUCUUUUAUGUGCAUUUUGUUGCAUGGGCUGUGUCCAAUAUGGUUCUUCCCCCUGCCCCUCUUUCCCUCACCCCCAUUGCCCCCUUUCUUUCCUUUUACUUGUGAGAGAAAGGGAAAGCUAUGUUGUAGAAGGACAAUUGCUCAACUUGUGAAGUUUCUAGGUGCCCAGACUAGUUAUUUAAAUAGAAACAGCUAAAAGAUGUUGAUAAAGAAGAAGGCUUAAUAAAGUGAAAACAAAAAAGAAAGCAGGAUAUAAACUUCUAAAUGAUGGUUAAUGGGAUUGACUUAAAUAGCCUUUCAACCUACUCCCUGGCUCAACCUAAUUGUUGUUUCAAAACCACCCAUAAAGGUGAUGUGGGGGGGGAUUGUUGUUUUAUAUUAUUUCUUAUGGCAUUUAGAGUGCAUGUAAGUUAAGAGUCAAGCUUUUUAUCACCAGUGUGGAAUUCAGCAAAUAGGUUUCAGUUAAGAUUGCAAGAUAUAGGCAGCAGGCAAAUAUACAUAACAAAAUAAGGUUUUAAAAUUUUUGCAAUGGAUGUAUUCACGGUACCUGUUGCUUUGCAUGCAUUUCUGUUUAUGCUUUAUUUUAGGUUUUCUAGUCAAUGAAAUUCUUUUUACCUUUUAUGCAUUCAGCUCUAGCUUCAGAAGUUAGUGUUGUUCCACCUUCUCGAUUAAUGGCUUUAAUUGGCCAGGCCCUAAAGUGGCAGCAACACCAAGGGUUGCUUCCACCAGGAACACAGUUUGACUUAUUUAGAGGAACAGCUGCUAUGAAACAGGAUGUAGAUGACAUGUACCCUACGACUCUCGCACACACUAUUAAGUUUGGAUCAAAAAGUCAUGCAGAAUGUGCUCGGUUCUCACCAGAUGGGCAGUUCCUUGUCUCAUGCUCUGUUGAUGGGUUCAUUGAGGUCUGGGAUUACCUAAGCGGAAAGCUCAAGAAGGAUCUUCAGUACCAGGCUGAUGAAACCUUUAUGAUGCAUGAUGAUCCUGUCCUAUGUGUUGAUUUUAGCCGAGAUUCUGAGAUGAUUGCAUCGGGUUCCCAAGAUGGGAAGAUCAAAGUUUGGCGGAUAAGGACUGGUCAAUGCUUGCGCCGUCUUGAACGUGCGCAUUCUCAAGGAGUAACUAGUGUUGUCUUCUCUCGUGAUGGAAGCCAGCUGCUAAGUACAUCCUUUGACAGCACAGCCAGAAUACAUGGCCUAAAAUCUGGCAAGUUGUUAAAAGAAUUCCGGGGUCAUACAUCCUACGUGAAUGAUGCCAUCUUUACAAGUGAUGGAACUCGUGUUAUUACUGCCUCCAGUGAUUGUACAGUCAAGGUUUGGGAUGUGAAGAGUACAGAGUGUAUACAUACAUUUAGGCCACCGCCUCCAUUGAGGGGAGGUGAUGCUUCUGUGAACUCUGUUCAUCUUUUCCCAAAGAACACAGAUCACAUUGUUGUUUGUAAUAAGACAUCAUCGAUAUGCAUCAUGACCCUUCAAGGACAGGUUGUGAAGAGUUUCUCAUCUGGUAAAAGAGAAGGUGGAGAUUUUGUCGCAGCAUGUUUGUCACCAAAAGGGGAAUGGAUAUAUUGUGUUGGUGAAGACAGGAAUACGUACUGCUUCAGCCACCAAUCUGGUAAACUAGAGCAUCUGAUGAAGGUUCAUGAGAAAGAUGUAAUAGGUGUGACUCACCAUCCCCAUCGGAAUCUCAUUGCCACAUACAGUGAAGAUUGUACAAUGAAAUUAUGGAAGCCUUGAAUUGCCCUUAUGUUGAUCCUUUUUAAAUUCUCUCAUAAAGACAAUUUUUUGCCCUACAUCAACUUUUCAUGUUCCAUCGGCUUCGAAACAGUAAUGUACUUGCAUCUAUCAUUCUCAACUGAAGGGGACUAGAACAUUGUGGCCAACUAGCCUUAGAAAUUUCAAUUCCAUUUUCUUGUACAGGUAACAAAUUAAGGAUCAUUUCUUUUUACUUAUCUCCAUCACAGCAGGUUGAAUUAUGCAGAGAACAAUCUUCCUACCCUUUUAACUUUUGAGCUGCCUUUUCCUUGGGGUUUAUAGACAAGGAUACUUGCUCAAAUUGGUCAGUACUUGGCAGUUGGGAGCCCAUCUUCUUUGUAGCCAGGGAUAUGGCUAUAGAGGCACAAUGGUCAGCAAUGAAUUAUGAGGCCUUAGAAAUGAUUGGAACAUUUGUUAUUGUUUUGAGCUGCCCUUUUGCCCUUGGACUAACAUUGCUGCAGUUGGUGAGCAACUAGUCUCUUCUGCUUCCACAAAAUGGUUCCUUGUAUGGGAGAAUUGAGCAGAAUAUGACAUAUCCACUAACCACCUAAAUGCUCAAAAUAUUCAAUAUCAUUCACCUGUCUUCCAUUCUUACUCUCCUAAAACGCAAUGGCACGCGCUGCAUGCUGUUUCAGCUCAAUUGCCAAUGAUUGCCAAUUGCUUGUCGCUGCUGCAAGAAUGGGGUCAUGGUCAUCAGCUUUUUGCCUUAUAAGAUAAAAACAUUUGAUCAUUUGGUUAUUUAACCCUGUUGCUUGCUUCAAGCUUUUUCCCAUGAAUUUAAUUUGAUUCUUUAAACUCCAUCCUUGUGCACAAUUUUUUAUUUUUUUAAAAAAAUUUAGAGUCAAUAAAGGAGAUGAUGGAGAUUUGAAUUCAUGUCUCUAGUUACUGGGUUGUUGAUUUAAUGAUGGACACUCACAUCCAAUCGUAGGUUGGGUAUAGGAUGUGUAACUUAUGAGCCAUGUGAAGGUGCUCCAUCAUCAUGCAUGGAAAGUCUUCACACUAAUCUUUUUACAGUGUAUUGAUAAAUUAUUUAAACUUUAAUUUGUAACAUAAAAUUUC
rnacentral:misc_RNA from 1 species